AUCUGAUCUUUCCUUACUGGGAAAAAAACAACAACAAGAGAACAGAUCUAGUAAAGUCACACCUUUAUAAUAAAAUAAAUUACAUGGUAAUAUUGACUGUUAAUUGAGCUCAAAUAGAGCGUCAAUGGAAGGGUCUUUAUUGGUCCACACAAAAUAAAGUUAAACUUAUGACAGUGUUAAAAAUUAAAAAACAUGAUAGAGCCGCUGUAACUCUAGAAAAUCUGUGGUCUCCUCUGGAAAGAACUCGGCAGAGUCAGCGUAAUGGCAAGGCAAUACAUAAUGAUGAAGAAUAUGCACUAUAUAUCCUUAAGAAGCACCCAGAGUCACAGGCGUGAAACCCAACUUAGUGGAUAACUUCACCCAUGGUGCAAAUAUGUCUCACAUUUGAUAUUUUGGGAUGUGAUGUGGAAUCAGUCACUCCACUACUUUGGUUGACAGAUAUUUAAGUAGUAGUAAAAGUACUGAUUUUCAGUAGUGUUAAAAAAGUACAAGUACCCAGAAAACUACUUAAUUACAGUAAUUUGGAUAAAUGUAAUGAGUUGCUUUGGAGGGAGGUAUAUCUGGCACAACCUCACCAACUUCUAAGCUGCAUGGAGGAUAAAUAAAGUCCUGAGGGAACUAGAAAUCUCUUGUAGUUUAGGUCUAAUAAAGUUGUGAUUUCUUCUUGUUUCAGUUUCUACCGCUGCGGGGCUCCUGUGCUGAAAAUACGCUUGCCUGGAUGUGUCAUUCCAUCAGGAGUCCUUAACCACCGCCCUGGGUGUCCCUCUGGGGGAAACAAUCGGUCGGGCAGAGGAAGGGAAACAGUAGCUCCGAUGUGAUCUGAGGACAACAACAAUGCCUGGAAAGUUCACCUGCCGUCACAUUCUGCUGUUCCCAGUCAUCCAGGAGACCCACAGGCGAGUGUGGUGAACUGGUUCUUACUUGGAAAAGUGCCUUUAUGGAGUAUUAUCAUCAGAAGAGUUAUUGAGAGAGUUGAAGUAGCGGUCAGAACAUCUGUGCGUUUCUCUUCUUUUGACCUGAAACAACUCGUCUUCUUCCAUAGAUGUCAAACCUCCACGCCUUUCCAAACACAGUCCAGUUCUCAAUGGCUGAUUGUGUUGAAUCCUGUGGAGCUGCUCCUCUGCCUCAUCUUCUUCUGCUCCUGCUACGGCCCAUUGGGUAACAAACAUAGACACACGUGUACAGCCUUCAUAUACAAAACAAAAUGAGUCCUAUGUAAAUAUGGAUUCACACAGUCACUAAUACACACCGGCAUCCAUGCACCAAAGCAGAACGGUAGAGCGGCCUUGUUUCUGCUGAUGCUACAUCUGUAGCGCAGAUGUGCCGCCGCACUCCAAGGUGCCGCUGAGUGCAGGAUGUUUUGCAUUCCCUCUGUGGAACCUGUGAGGCGUUCCUGUGGGCUGUC